rnacentral:misc_RNA from 1 species
GAUGAAGAACGUAGCGAAAUGCGAUACUUGGUGUGAAUUGCAGAAUCCCGUGAACCAUCGAGUCUUUGAACGCAAGUUGCGCCCGAAGCCAUCAGGUUGAGGGCACGUCUGCCUGGGCGUCACAUAUCGUUGCCCAAUGCCUAUUGCAGUGCAAUAGGAAUUUCUAGGGCGAAUGAUGGCUUCCCGUGAGCGUUGUUGCCUCGCGGUUGGUUGAAAAUCGAGUCCUUGGUAGGGUGUGCCAUGGUAGAUGGUGGUCGAGUUAGAACGAUACCGAUCAUGUGCAUGCUCCCCAAAAUAUGGCCUCUAUGACCCACACGCGUCUUUUGACGCUCAUGACGAGACCUCAGGUCAGGCGGGGCUACCCGCUGAAUUUAAGCAUAUCAAAGCGGAGGA